GACACCUCUCUGGCUUUAUGUGCAUCGGCAGGACUAGAUGACUUCAAAGCAUUUCAAAAGGAUGGUGUGAUUUAGAUGUACAACCUCAUCUCCCCCCUCAAACACAAAGCACUCCCAAACACCAAAACCAAACCAGCACAGAUGUGGAGACCAGGGCCACCCACAUCACUCCCCCAUUGGAACUAAGCACAGGUAGAGCUGGCAAUUAAGUGUUUCUGAUUCACAGGAAUGACGACCUAUAAGGAGGCAAUACCCAACACGGAUGGGGUGAGUCACACCAGCAACCUGCAGAGUGGGGAGGCCAAGAAAAAGCCAACAAAUCAAAUGAACCAUCAGAUCUCUGGGACAGGGAGGUGCUUCCUUCCCAGAUGGGGUGCACAGAGAGGGUAUAAAAGCGAUCCCAUCCAGGGGAGCUUCAUUCCCUCCUUGCUCCUUUGCUGCACAAGCAUCUCAGGUCACCUGGAAACACAGCCAUGUGCUCUCGCCAGGACAGGGACCACUGCCAUGAGCAGGAGCUCCACAGCAGCGGUGGUGGAUGCCACCGCUCCAGUGGUGGAUGCCAUAGCUCCAGCAGCGGAUGCCAUAGCUCCGGUGGCAGUGGCUGCCAUAGCAUCCCACAGGUCCACUACCAGCAGCAGCAGCAGCAGCAGCAGCAGAUCCCCCAGCUGCCCUGCCAGAAGAUGAAGUGAGCUCCCAAUGGCUCCAGCAGCAAGGGCCACGCAUGGACCAGCUCCCUCUGGUCUCCCCACAGCUUUGGGGCUGUCCGGCUUCAAACCCUCUUCUCUGCCCUCCAGCUCCCUGGGGAAGGGGCAUCACCUGUGGUCCCUGCUGCCUCUGCCUGAUGCACCAGGCUGUGCUUGGGCCCCAUGAGGUGCCCAUGAGACAAUAAAGCUUUGAAUUAGCAAGACUUCCCUUGUGUU
rnacentral:lncRNA from 14 species